AUUGAACGCUGGCGGCAUGCCUUACACAUGCAAGUCGAACGGUAACGCGGGGGCAACCCUGGCGACGAGUGGCGAACGGGUGAGUAAUACAUCGGAACAUAUCCAGUAGCGGGGGAUAACCUAUCGAAAGAUUGGCUAAUACCGCAUACGAUCUACGGAUGAAAGCGGGGGACCGCAAGGCCUCGCACUAUUGGAGUGGCCGAUGUCAGAUUAGCUAGUUGGUGGGGUAAAAGCCCACCAAGGCGACGAUCUGUAGCUGGUCUGAGAGGACGAUCAGCCACACUGGAACUGAGACACGGUCCAGACUCCUACGGGAGGCAGCAGUGGGGAAUUUUGGACAAUGGGCGCAAGCCUGAUCCAGCCAUGCCGCGUGAGUGAAGAAGGCCUUCGGGUUGUAAAGCUCUUUCGGUGAAGACGAAACGGUUAGCGCUAAUAACGCUGACUAAUGACGGUACUCACAGAAGAAGCACCGGCUAACUACGUGCCAGCAGCCGCCGUAAGAC
rnacentral:rRNA from 1 species